rnacentral:lncRNA from 12 species
GCAUGAUAGUACAAGCUGGGCCUUUCCUCUUCACACAGAGAUUGAAUGGUAUGAAGCAAUUAGAAGGCUAAGGUCUACAUAAAUGAUUGAGUAACUGAGAGGUAUGGAUCUGAGAUGUUGAAUUGGAGAAUGCAAUGUAAAAAAUCUAAAAGAAGACUAAUUUAUGCAAAUCUUGAAACAGCACAUGAUGUACAGAAAUACAAGAAGAAAAGGAAAUAUUUGGAAGUCUGCAUAUGAUCUAAGGAAACUUUGUACUGUGCUGGAACAUUAUGGUCAUGGUAGUGACAGUGACAACUCUCCUCUGGUCAUUCUCACAAUUCUUGUUUCUAUUUAUGUUCUCGUUCAAGAGGAAUUGAGUACUGGACCAGUGGAAAUUCAUUUGCAUAAGAACAACCUAAAUCCUCAAGAAGAAAGUGAUGAGGAGAGAUUUUGGCCUGUCAGUUAA